GACGAACGCUGGCGGCGUGCCUAAUACAUGCAAGUUGAGCGAUGAAGCUUGGUGCUUGCACCAAUUUGAAGAGCAGCGAACGGGUGAGUAACGCGUGGGGAAUCCGCCUUUGAGCGGGGGACAACAUUUGGAAACGAAUGCUAAUACCGCAUAACAACUUUAAACAUAAGUUUUAAGUUUGAAAGAUGCAAUUGCAUCACUCAAAGAUGAUCCCGCGUUGUAUUAGCUAGUUGGUGAGGUAAAGGCUCACCAAGGCGAUGAUACAUAGCCGACCUGAGAGGGUGAUCGGCCACAUUGGGACUGAGACACGGCCCAAACUCCUACGGGAGGCAGCAGUAGGGAAUCUUCGGCAAUGGACGAAAGUCUGACCGAGCAACGCCGCGUGAGUGAAGAAGGUUUUCGGAUCGUAAAACUCUGUUGGUAGAGAAGAACGUUGGUGAGAGUGGAAAGCUCAUCAAGUGACGGUAACUACCCAGAAAGGGACGGCUAACUACGUG
rnacentral:rRNA from 1 species